CAGUCGCCGCGGUAAUACGUAGGUGGCAAGCGUUGUCCGGAAUUAUUGGGCGUAGAGGGCUCGCAGGCGGUUUCUUAAGUCUGAUGUGAAAGCCCCCGGCUCAACCGGGGAGGGUCAUUGGAAACUGGGAAACUUGAGUGCAGAAGAGGAGAGUGGAAUUCCACGUGUAGCGGUGAAAUGCGUAGAGAUGUGGAGGAACACCAGUGGCGAAGGCGACUCUCUGGUCUGUAACUGACGCUGAGGAGCGAAAGCGUGGGGAGCGAACAGGAUUAGAUACCCCUGUAGUCCCUGUCUCUUAUAC
rnacentral:rRNA from 1 species